GUCCCCUUCGUCUAGAGGUCCUAGGACACCGCCCUUUCACGGCGGUAACAGGGGUUCGAAUCCCCUAGGGGACGCCA
rnacentral:tRNA from 1 species